rnacentral:rRNA from 1 species
AUUGAACGCUGGCGGAAUGCUUUACACAUGCAAGUCGAACGGUAGAGGGGGCAACCCCUUGAGAGUGGCGAACGGGUGAGUAAUAUAUCGGAACGUGCCCAGUCGUGGGGAUAACGUAGCGAAAGUUACGCUAAUACCGCAUACGAUCUAAGGAUGAAAGCGGGGGGAUCGCAAGACCUCGCGCGAUUGGGAGCGGCCGAUAUCAGAUUAGGUAGUUGGUGAGGUAAAGGCUCACCAAGGCGACGAUCCUUAGCUGGGUCUGAGAGGAUGAUUCAGCCACACUGGGACUGAGACACGGCCCAGACUCCUACGGGAGGCAGCAGUGGGGAAUAUUGGACAAUGGCGAAAGCCUGAUCAGCAAUGCCGCGUGAGUGAUGAAGG